UACGGAAGGGGCGAGCGUUGUUCGGAAUCAUUGGGCGUAAAGGGCGCGUAGGUGGUUCUGUGUGUCUACUGUGAAAGCGUACAGCUCAACUGUAUUUUGUCGGUAGAAACUGCAGGACUUGAGGCUGGGAGGGGCUGGUGGAAUUCCCUGUGUAGCGGUGAAAUGCGUAGAGAUGGGGGAGAACACUCGUGGCGAAGGCGGCCAGCUAGACCAGUUCUGACACUGAGGCGCGACAGCGUGGGGAGCAAACAGG
rnacentral:rRNA from 1 species